rnacentral:rRNA from 1 species
UACGUAGGGCGCAAGCGUUGUCCGGAAUUAUUGGGCGUAAAGAGCUUGUAGGCGGUUUGUCGCGUCUGCCGUGAAAAUUCGAGGCUCAACCUCGAACUUGCGGUGGGUACGGGCAGACUAGAGUGUGGUAGGGGAGACUGGAAUUCCUGGUGUAGCGGUGAAAUGCGCAGAUAUCAGGAGGAACACCGAUGGCGAAGGCAGGUCUCUGGGUCAAUACUGACGCUCAGGCACGAAAGCGUGGGGAGCGAACAGG